AUGUGGAGACUGGGGAGCAGCAGAGUCAACUCAGUUAUCAUCUUGGCGGCCGGGCUGCCGUCCAGCUCACAGAAGCCACCUGAUCCGGAAAAGAUUUCCAACGCCUGCUGGAGUAAGUUUGGCAGCUGUUUCCAUACAGGCAGAGGCCAGUGUCAUCUCCAGCACCUGGGGGACAUAAGAGAAAGAGCCAGUGGCCUUCCUCCAAGACAAUCUCAGUGUCUUCCCACUCACAGAACCAGGCAACAAAGAAGUCUGUGGCGUCCACAGGAGGGAAACAAAGCAAAACGAAGCGCCGACCAGUGCGGUACUAUUAAUUCAAAUUAAUGACCCUCACCUACAAAUAAAGCUGGUGCCUGGCAGGUCGCUGGCUCUUGGAGAGCUGCAAUGAGAACAAACGUGGCUUUGCCGUCUGGCCAGGCAAUCGAUGCCUCCUGCCUGUCCCUGGCCGCCCCGCACCCACCUCUUACAGACGUUACCUGUCUCCUGUUAAUUCUCCCGUGUCACUCUCCACUUCCCCGGUGGGGGUGGGGGGGCGGUCAAGGGUUGGCCUGGAGGGUGGGCUUAUUUCAUAAGAAAGGCCGAUUGAAAGGGCCCAGAUGCAAAGUCACACUGCUCUGCGGAGCUGGGAGGACACCCCACUGAGAGACGUGUCUGAAAUGGGUGGAGGUCUCUAGGCAUCGCUGGCAGGGGCGGGUGCCUGACUGUCAUUUAGGGACAUUUCUGCCUUGAUCUGUCGCUCUUAUUUAUCUCUGCCAAAAUAAAGAUGUGUUUGAUGAUAAAGACUUCUUUUAUUCAGCCUCUCAGUUACUCCAGCACGGUAGUUAGAGAUGAAUACAAUGUUGCCCUUAAGCUACAACCUAAUCUUCACAGAAACCCUUUGAAGAAGGUAAGUUUAGUUUUACUUUAAGACUGG
rnacentral:lncRNA from 1 species